UAGGGAAUCUUCCACAAUGGGCGCAAGCCUGAUGGAGCAACGCCGCGUGAGUGAAGAAGGUCUUCGGAUCGUAAAACUCUGUUGUUAGAGAAGAACAUGCAGGAGAGUAACUGUUCUUGUAUUGACGGUAUCUAACCAGAAAGCCACGGCUAACUACUUGCCAG
rnacentral:rRNA from 1 species